CUUUGAGUUCUCCAAGGAUACCAGCUUCCCACCAAACUGUGGGUAAACAAACCAAAACCGCACAGAUAGUCUGCGGAUCCACUUGGGUGGCUUCUUCAAGGGGUUUACUGCAGCUGGAGGGGCAGUGGACUGAGGCAGCUGAAGCGGGGGCAACGUUUGUCCUGUCCCAAAAGGAUCCAUGUUCCCAAACGAGAUGCCGAUGUGUCCGUCGAAGCUUGCGGCCGACAGCACUGCAGGGUUCCUGGGACACCACUGGAUGUCAAAGCACCACUGGCUGCUGGUGGGCAACUCGUACAGCACCUAAGUUAAGCAGGAUGAUUACUUACUGUCAUACUUUGGGGUCUCUUGUAACCCAUCUUUCAAAGAAUCCAGAUGAUGAAAUAAAAAAAUACUGAGCUGUAAAAAGUAAUGUUUGCUACAAUCCUUUGUGGUAAACAGCUCUUCUAAUGCCUUAAUGAUAAAUGCACAUCAUAGUGUUGUGUCAGAAAUGAUGUAGGAAUAUGCAUCACUGCCAAAAAUGAAGAAGAAAUCAGUGUGUUCACCCAGUGUUCCCACCAAUGCUGAUCAGAGCUGAAGCCAAUGAAAAAAACAUGUGCAUUGCAGAGUCAUUUGACCCAGUAGAGGAUACGAAUCAAACACAUUCCCACUGGUCAAAAACCCAUUAAAAACAUAAGAUUAAAUGGGGCAUUUGAGACAUUUACAGUCAAAUUUUACCUCUGCUGUGUUUGGAUUCCAGCACAGGAUCCUGCUGUCCUUCCCACAGCUCAGGAGCAGCUCAGGAUCAGCCAAGCUCCAAGAGAUGGCGAGCACACCCCUGGACAUAAAGACCGGCACCGUUAUGUCAAAAAAAAAGCUGUUGAUAUAUAAUAUUUUCUUCCUGUCAUCAAGUCCCAUUAAAUGACCAAAAACAAAA